GUGGGGAAUAUUGCACAAUGGGCGAAAGCCUGAUGCAGCAACGCCGCGUGAACGAAGAAGGCCUUUGGGUCGUAAAGUUCUGUCGGAAGGGAAGAAAGAAAUGACGGUACCAUCCAAGGAAGCCCCGGCUAACUACGUGCCAGCAGCCGCGGUAAUACGUAGGGGGCGAGCGUUAUCCGGAAUUAUUGGGCGUAAAGGGUGCGUAGGUGGUUUUUUAAGCGUAUGGGUGAAAGGCAGUGGCUCAACCAUUGUAAGCCUAACGAACUGAGAGACUUGAGUGCAGGAGAGGAAAGCGGAAUUCCUAGUGUAGCGGUGAAAUGCGUAGAUAUUAGGAGGAACACCGGUGGCGAAGGCGGCUUUCUGGACUGUAACUGACACUGAGGCACGAAAGCGUGGGGAGCAAACAGGAUUAGAAACCCUUGUAGUCC
rnacentral:rRNA from 1 species